UCCGAUUUUGCCUGUGGUGGUUGAAGGUUUGGCAGUUGGCAGUUCUUAAAUUGAAACUAAAUGUACGCCUAACUUACUCUGUAGACGGAUUUCGACUGCGCAAAUGUUUUUUCUAAAGACUCGGUCCUUCUAUAUAUAUAGGCCACACGGAACGAGUUCAGGAAGCAUGUGCUCAUGGCUAUAUGUGCAUUCCGCACAUGGUACCACCACGACACGAGGCAGCUCAUGGCUCUCGUGCGCUGGGUGUGCUUCCAUUUGGGCACGCCUACUCAGCUCACUGCCCACUUAAGAGGUGGAAUGCAGACGCUGGGGUAGCCGAGGUGGGACUAAAACAGAGGAAACUCUGGCCAUUCUGCUGCUCUGUUCGUGACUGAGGACUGAAGGCCGUGGGUAGUGAGCAGCUGCUGUUGGGCUGGGCCGCAUGGAGGAACGGCUGUCUGAAGUAGGCAUAUCUUGAGCAUAUGGAUAGGAUAGGAAACAAGCAUUCGGUUUCAGCAUACGCUCUUGGAAUUCCAUGGCGCGCCGGCAAACGAUAUUUUAUCAUGCUACAGACAAUCUUCUCUCAAAAAGAAAAAAGCAACCUUGUUGUGAACAGAGAGCAGUAAUGCAGGCAGCACCAAAUGCUGGCCGGCGUCGCAGUCAUGCACAUGCGCAUAUCAUCGUCAAAGGUUAGUGCCAUGUACAGUUAAAUAGGAAAAGCAUCAAACGUUUGUAACACAUAUAAACAGAGUAGAAAAAAAAGAAAAAGAUUGCCCAGCAUAUUUGACAUAUGCGUGCUUAUCUAGACGGUGGCCACAAUCAUUAAUCCUUGAGUUUCUAUGCUGAGUGUGCAUGCCGCACACGGAACCACCACAACACGGGGCACCUCACGGCGCUCGUGUGUCUGGUGUGCCUUCAUUCUGGCACGCCUACUGAGCUGACUGCUCACUUAAGAGGUGGUUCUCACACCACUGAGUGGCCGAGGUGGGACUAAAGAACCAGGAAACUAUGGCCAUUCCCAUUCGCGAGGAGGGGCUGAGGUCUGAAGGCUGUGUGGGCUGUGAGCAGCAGCUGCUGGGCUGGGCCGCAUUGAGGAAUGGUGAGCUGGGUCUGCGAAAUGUAAUUUACUCUGUCCAGAACACUGCGGGUGCACUUCACUAUGCCACGUUCAACACUGGUGGAUUACGAUAAUCUCACCCGCAAAAAAAAGAGAUAAUCUAGCUUAUCCAACGAUCUUAUAUUAGUUUACAAAGAGAGUGUAUGAGUAUAUCGCAACACAGUUCAGCAAACGCAGACUGACCAGUUUUUACCUAUUUUGGUGUAAAUUUAACCCACUUGUCUCUAGUUUUUGAAGUGAAGAUAAAACCUAUCUCUAGUUUCGUGACUAUUUUUUCAUAGCACGUUGUACCGUGAACUGAGCCUGACUGGAGAAGAAAUCUACACAAGUACGUGAUUGAAACUCCACA